AGGGAAGGGGCGGCAGCGAGCUCGCCAGGCGGCCAGGAACCCGGGUGGGGCCGGGACCGAGGCGGUGGCUGGCCAGCGGAGCUCAGGCCGGGCGCGGCGCGCCGGGUGAAGGCGGCAAGGCGGCAAGGCCCCGGCCGAGGCCGGCGGAGCCGCGCAGCUGCGGCCGGCUGACGUGAGCGGCGUGCGGGUCCCGGCCGGCAGCGCGCUGGCGGCCAUGGCGGUGGCGCUGGCGGGCCGCGGGGCGCGCGGCGGCAGGGGCCGGCCCCCGGGCGGGCGGGCGGAGGGGGCGGGGCCGGGGCGCCGGGCGGCCCGCGCGACAGCGGCGGCGAAGACGACGGAGACGGGGGGCGCUGGGGCUGAUGACAGCGGCCGGGCCCGGGGCGGCGCCGUCCCCGCGGCGGUGCGACAGCGACCCGGCCUCCCCCGGAGCGCAGUCCCCAAAGGUGAGCGGAGCGCGCUGCCCAACGGGCAGCGGCCCAGGCCGGGCUCGGGAGAGAAGAGGAGACGGGGCGGCGGGUCCUGGAGCAACGAGUGCGGCGGACAGUGGGCGCGGACGUCGGGGAGACCUGCGCGGCGGGGUGGGAAGUUGUCCGGGAAUAGCUGGGACCGGGGGACUCGGGAAGAGUGCUUGAGACGAAGCGCCCCCAGCCUGGGAAAGUCGGAAAAGUUGGCGGCCUUGGGGAUCUCAGUCGGGGAGACGCUGAGCGGGACGUGCGCUCGGGGUCCCGAGUUGGCAGAACGUGGAUUCACACCCACGUUCCUGGCCGCAGGCAGCUGCAGGGCCGGACUGAGAACUUCUGGCUUCGGCGGCAGCAGCAUGCACUGGCCAAGGCUGGCUUCAAACCCUGUAUCUACCUCCCGAGUGUUGGGAUUACAGAUGUGUACCACCAUGCUGGGUAUAUUCAGUGCUGGAGAUUGAGCCCGCAGCUUCAUGACUGCCAGGCAAGCACUGCCUUCACUAAAUGCAGCCCCAGAGCUAUAGCUGAAACCUUGCAUGAGCUUCUUCUUCUUGCCUAUUACCAUCAACAUCUUCCUGUAAGCAUGCUACUCAUAGUUAAUCUUUCUGGGUUUUAAAGGCACUUAUUUUACACGCAUUGGGUAUUUUUGCAUGCGUGUAUGUAUGUAUGUGUACCAUGUGCAUGCUUACACCCGGCUGUGGGCCAACAUAUGGGUGCUCGGAACCAAAUCCAGGUCCUGCAGGAAAAGCACGUGCUGCUGACCUCUGAGCCACCUCUCCAGCCCUAAUCAUUGCAUCUUCAUUUGUAUCUUGAAAGAAAAUACAUUUUUUCAAGUUUUUUUUUCCAA
rnacentral:lncRNA from 1 species